CACCGCGGUUAUACGAGAGGCCCAAGCUGAUAGACAUCGGCGUAAAGCGUGGUUAGGAUGAUUUAAUUAAUUAGAGUCGAAUGUUUUCAAGGCUGUUAUACGCACCCGAAAACUAGAAGCACAACAACGAAAGUGACUUUAAAAGGUCUGAACCCACGAAAGCUAAGGCA
rnacentral:rRNA from 1 species